UACUGUUUUAUUGUAUUUUUUUUUCUUAUAUUGGAAUCAUGAUUUUAAAAAACAGUUUGUGAUCACAAUUUCGUCAACGGAUUGCAAAUUUACAAUAACUCUGAUUUUCUGACCUCAAUUUGUAGCUAUAGUGGGCCCAUUUAUCUGCAAUUUCCUGCAAUAUCAAGAAAAACUGCAAAGCUGGAAUCGAUUCAAAAUCUUGAUUAGAAUUAAAUAAAUAAGCAAUUCUUCUGUUUGUUUUAUUUUUAGUCUUUCGUCUCUUUGAUGUUAGUUACAAUUGGAGCAACUCUUCCUUUCUAGUAUCACUACCUUUCUUCUCAUCUUCCUCUGCUUACUUAAACACUUGAAGUUGCAUUCCAUAUUAGAUAUUUAGUAUAACGUUUAUGGGUCUUAGGCUCUCCGAGCUAGCUAUCGUGGUGGGGUUCUCCAAAGAUUCGUAUUAAUUGGCAUUAGAGUCUUUCACCGUCCCUCUCAACUGCAAACAAGCAGAGCGGGUCGUGAAGUUGGCACUCACAAUGUAGUGAAGUUGGCACUCACAAUAUAGUGUUUGUCCAGGAUUAAUCAUGGACUAGUGCCAGCUCAUAUAAAAGGGCUGUGGAGUGUGGUGGGAUUUUAGGAACCAAUCCAUAGACUUUAGGAUCCCGUAUUACUGUAGUUAGCUUUCGUGGUGUGGUUUUUCGCCCUCUUGAGAUUCUUAUAUGCAUGAUUUGACUCAAGUCUUUACAGUCAUUACCAAAAACCUCACGAGUUGUUUCGGCUGGCAUCUUAUCAAUUUGUUUUGCCCUUGUGUUUUACUGUUAUUACGUGAUUCCAAAGUCAGAAGUCAUUUGAUUAUUCUGGUUCAUAGUUGGAGGAUGUUUCUCAGUCUUCAAUAGCUAAUUUUUUGCACUAUUAACAAGAAAUACUUGUUUAUAUGAUUUUAAGGUGAUUAUUUUAACCGUUAACGAACUUAUUAUGCAUUAUUAUUCUUUGAUUGGAUGACAAUUGAUUGCUUAUUCUUCUUCCGUCCUUUUCUUUUAGAAUGUAAGAUGAUGACAUUUAAUAGAUCGUUGACUAGCGUAUUUUUUUGUUUCAAAGUAUCUGUGAUACACCUUGCUAUUAUAGUUAGACAAAAUGGCAUAAUUUAAUUUUUCAACAUCCACCUAAUUCCUACAGAUGCUAACUACCAAAGAUCUAAGCUUCGUUGGUUACACUUACAAGAACUUCGAUGCUGUAAAAGAAGGGCUUCGUCAAUCUUUUGGUGAUUCCAUGCAAGAGUAUGCUUCUAAACGGGCAGCUGAAGAAACAAGUUUACAAAUGCUUGCAUCUUCUGGAGAUCCCAUGUUACCAUAACUUUGUGCAAAUUGAAGUCCACCGUGUUGAGAUUUUGUGUACUUGCUUUGGCUUUAAAUAUUGGCCAAGAACAUGUAUUAUGGAACCGUAAUUCCUAUGCCAUUUGCAAGAACAGUGUGUACAGCAAGUAGUUGAACAUCAUUGUCAAAGCUUGUAGGGUAAACACCAUGUGUGUAUUUGAAUUUUCAACUUAGGAACUGAAAGUUGUGCGAUUGAGUGCUCCUGUCCUGGCUGCCCAGGUUGGCUGUGGAAGACUUGCCUUCUCUAGUGGCAGUUGCUGGUUUAAUGUUAGUUAUGGUCAAAUUCCUGAGGAACCAUUAAAGCAUCCUGAAAAUUAUUCGAUGUGAUGUGUACAUUUAUUGGAAGAUAGCAUAAUUAAACUAUUGAAACAAAGACAAUGCAUGGCAUUGGAUCCUGCUAUUGUCUUUAGGUGCUCGGUUGCUUACCCUUUUACCUAAAUCAAUUUUAUGUUGAAAAGUGCACU